rnacentral:rRNA from 1 species
AGCGAACGCUGGCGGCAGGCCUAACACAUGCAAGUCGAACGGAUCCUUCGGGAUUAGUGGCGGACGGGUGAGUAACACGUGGGAACGUGCCCUUUGGUUCGGAACAACUCAGGGAAACUUGAGCUAAUACCGGAUGUGCCCUUCGGGGGAAAGAUUUAUCGCCAUUGGAGCGGCCUGCGUCUGAUUAGCUAGUUGGUGAGGUAAAGGCUCGCCAAGGCGACGAUCAGUAGCUGGUCUGAGAGGAUGAUCAGCCACAUUGGGACUGAGACACGGCCCAAACUCCUACGGGAGGCAGCAGUGGGGAAUCUUGCGCAAUGGGCGAAAGCCUGACGCAGCCAUGCCGCGUGAAUGAUGAAGGUCUUAGGAUCGUAAAAUUCUUUCACCGGGGACGAUAAUGACGGUACCCGGAGAAGAAGCCCCGGCUAACUUCGUGCCAGCCGCCGCAGUAA